rnacentral:rRNA from 1 species
ACGGAAGGCAGCAGUGGGGAAUAUUGCACAAUGGGCGAAAGCCUGAUGCAGCGACGCCGCGUGAGUGAAGAAGUAUCUCGGUAUGUAAAGCUCUAUCAGCAGGGAAGAAAAUGACGGUACCUGACUAAGAAGCACCGGCUAAAUACGUGCCAGCAGCCGCGGUAAUACGUAUGGUGCAAGCGUUAUCCGGAUUUACUGGGUGUAAAGGGAGCGUAGACGGCAUAGCAAGCCAGAUGUGAAAUGCGGGGGCUCAACCCCUGAACUGCAUUUGGAACUGUUAAGCUAGAGUAUCGGAGAGGUAAGUGGAAUUCCUAGUGUAGCGGUGAAAUGCGUAGAUAUUAGGAGGAACACCAGUGGCGAAGGCGGCUUACUGGACGAUAACUGACGUUGAGGCUCGAAAGCGUGGGGAGCAAACAGGAUUAGAUACCCUGGUA